GUCAGCAAAGCGGUUAUUUUUAACUCUAUUGGUGGCAAGGUCGAGUUGUAAUUUCAAAUUCAAGUUUUCGUUCUUCAGUAGACUAAUCUCUUCUUUUUGUUCAAUAAGACGAUUGCCUUUAAAUUCGAUGAUGUUUGUUGUUUUGGAAGGGACGCAUCAGACGUUAAAUCAAUGUUAUUUAUUUAGAGCCAGCGCAUUGAUUGUUA